GACGAACGCUGGCGGCGUGCUUAACACAUGCAAGUCGAACGAAGAGCGAUGGAAGCUUGCUUCUAUCAAUCUUAGUGGCGAACGGGUGAGUAACGCGUAAUCAACCUGCCCUUCAGAGGGGGACAACAGUUGGAAACGACUGCUAAUACCGUAUACGAUCCAAUCUCGGCAUCGAGACUGGAUGAAAGGUGGCCUCUAUUUAUAAGCUAUCACUGAAGGAGGGGAUUGCGUCUGAUUAGCUAGUUGGAGGGGUAACGGCCCACCAAGGCGAUGAUCAGUAGCCGGUCUGAGAGGAUGAACGGCCACAUUGGGACUGGAGCACGGCCCAA
rnacentral:rRNA from 1 species